GGCACUAUGGCCGAGCGGUUAAGGCGAAAGACUUGAAUUUUCCUUUCAAGGUAUCUUUUGGGAUUUUCCCGCGCAGGUUCGAGUCCUGCUGGUGUCG
rfam:Pachysolen tannophilus NRRL Y-2460 unplaced genomic scaffold PACTA_scaffold_7, whole genome shotgun sequence.